AUUCAUUCUAUUAUCUAUUUCAUUCUAUUAUCUUCGUUACCGAUGGGGAAAUUCCAUGCAAGCCUUGUAAAGCACUACCUAUUAAAACAAUACUCCAAGCAAAAUCCUUGCUGGGUUCUGAGUAUUGCUGUGAGUUCAACACAAAGCAGCUUUUAUUUAGAACAUAAAUUGGAUUUCCGCUUGUAAAGGAAAGCAUGAGAUAAUGUUCUUUGUCUUAAUUUGACAGUAGAGAGGCUCUUCAGUAUUGGCCAAGAAUCUAAUAUUGGAUCAUACCAAAACACAGGCAUUUGCUUUCUAAAUUGCAUCCAUAAAGAUCCCACGGUCAAGUGCUGCCUCUGACAGAGCAUUUACUAAGAUUUUAAGGCUUCACGUUCAGAUCAUUAAAAAUGCCCAUCUGUCUUUUUUAUUUAAUAUGCCAUCCGCUCUCCAAUUUGGAUAAAAUCUGAGAUCCUGCCCCUAUUGAAACUUCCCAGUUCUUCUACCUCAGUUGUCCGCAGUGCUGUGCUGUGGGCACUGGCUUUGGUGACUCAACUGUCACUAGGAUCAAACUUGUGAUACCAUCUUCCUAGGAGGAAAGGGCAAGGAGAAGGAAGAUGCUUUGUAUGCAUGUGAACACCUCAAUGUUGGAUCCUCCAUAUAUUUUCAAAGUAGAGGCUGUCAAAAUGCUCUGGAGGCUUGCUUCAUGGAUUAGUAAAGGCUUUGCAAAGGCAAUGCCUUUGAGAAAAGCCUUGAAGGGCAAGAAAAACUUCAAGGGAAGGAGAUGGCCAUUCUUGGAUGAGCAAAGGAUGGUCUGGAUCCAAGCUCUGACUGAACUGGAUGAACUAAGGCAGCAGGUGAAGAUGCCAAUUAGAAGACCCUUCCUUGGAGAUGCCUGCCCUUGCUUUUAGGAAUCUGCUCUAGACUCCUCAACGCUGUUUCUUUUUAAAGUUGUAUAGAGUAUUUGACAAUGAGGUUCACACACUUUGAGAAGUUCUCUAGUACUUCUAGAAGCUGGGGGAAGAAGGAAAGCAGACUUAAUUCCAGGGGACAUUGCACAAGAUUCUCAGAACUGUAGAGCUCAAGGGUUCUGGAAAACAAACUUCUUCUGGAAUUAAAAAAUUUGGAACAACAUUUGAAAUAUUUGUAAAGAUGGCAAGUUUUUCUUAUCUUUUGAUACUCAUGCUAGUAGAUCUGAUCACACUUAAUUUUAAUAAUGCUAUGCUAUUAUAAAUGUAUAAAGGAAUUCAAGGCAUAUGCUGGUGAGAAACUAUAAGAGGAAGUAGCAAUAACUUCAUUUUACAAAUGCUGAAAUUGAAGCAAGUAAAUUUUAAUCAUUAUUCCAAAGUUAACACAACAGUGUAGGAUCAUAACCCAGGAUUCCUGACUGUCAGAUUCCUGGCUUACCUAACUGGAUACCUGGUGUCAUAUCUCUCAUAAUCUUCUCUUUCUCUCUCUUAGUCUCUCUUUCUUCACACCUUUUUUCCCCCAACUCCUGUAAGAGACAGGUUUGCAUCAUGGCUAAGAGCAUGGACCUUGGGAUGAGAAAUACUGGCUCUUCCACUCUCUAGCAGUGUGCCUAAAGGUACCGUUUUUGAUAUUCUCUUGUUUCAUGUUCCUCAUCUAUAAGAAGGGGCUGCUAAUGGUACCUAUUUUAUAUGGCUAUUGUUGAAAACUAAAUAGGCUGUUACAGGUAAACUGUCUUGCCCAGAAGAAGGCCCUCAAUACAUGUUACAUAUUAUCUAUUCCCAUAGCCUUUUCUAUGAAGACUUCCUUGCUUUUCUUUCUCCUGCCCUCUUUUUAUCCACAGUUACUAUCAACUCUCUAACCUGUGUUUGUUCCCAUUAGGUACCCCUCUUUCUGGAUCUCCCCUGCAGAAUUUUACCAUAACCUGUGGUCUGUACUUGUUUGCCAAUGAGCAGACAACUUCAGACAGAGAAGCUACAGGACAGAUUGUGAUGAUAACGAGAUCCCCUAGAGCUCGAAGAGGAAGUGUUGGAAAGGACAGGAUUGGAGGCAAGAAGGUUAGUAAAGAGGCAAUGACAGCUGUGUGACAAGGGCCAGCUCUGGGAGAAUGGCAGUGGGGAUGGAGAACAGGACAACAGGAAAGGAGCAAAAUGAGGAGGCAGAAUCUACAGAAUCUGGUUAUCAAGGGUAGGAGAGAGGAAGAAGUCGAGGAUGAUGUCUGGGUUUCUGACUUAGUUGGGCCUGGACAUAGAGAUCUGAAGGUCAAAACUGUAGUGGGAACAAUUGCAGGUAAGGGAAUAGGGGAGACUGCCCAGGGGCAGUGGUGUGCAGAGGAAUAAGAUAAGAGGACCAAGGCAGAUUUCUGAGAAGUUUCAACACUUAAGAGUUGGGCAGAGCAAGAACAGCAUAAAGAAACUUGGAGGAGGAAAAGACUAAAGCAGAGAACAUGAGGUGAGAUAGAGUAAGACCUGAGAGAGACCGCGCUACAGAACUAUAAGUUGUACUUUAUUAAGGAGUUAGGUUUUACAAGGGUGUUAAGAAAACAAGAAAUAAAUAUUCAUUAAACAUUUGCCGAGGCCCUAAAUUUCUAAGCUUAGAAGUUCCCCCACCCCACCAAUCACAUUAGAAUAGACAGCUUCAUAGAAACAUAAAGCUAAACAUUUAAAUAUCAAAUAAAGCAAUCAAAACAAAAAGGCUAAUAUCAGAUUGAGGAUAAAUGUUUGCGAAUGUUUAUGGUCAGGAAAAUAUCAUCUUUAGAAAAAGAGCUUUUGCAAAUUGUUAAGGAAAAAUCGCUAAGAAUGGGACAGAUCAAUAAGUAAAAAACUUGGGAUAAUUCACAAAGGGGCAAAUAUAACAAAUAAGUCCAUGGGGAAAAGUUUACUGUCGCUAAUAGCAAAGGCAUCUAUUUUAGAACAAAGAGGCACUACUUUCCUUUUAGUAGUUAGCAAAGAAAUUCUUAAAUAAUAAUAUAACAAUUCUAGCAAGUAUUUGGUUGAACUAGUAUUCCUAAGGAUUGUUGGCACUCUAUACUGGUAUAUACUUUUGGGAAAAAUAUUUGUUAGAAUGAAUCCGGAACCACAAAUUGUUCUUGUACACAGUUUUGCUAAUGUCUCCUGAAAAUUCAAAUGAUAGCACGUGUAUAAAUAUUUUUGUUAAAUCACAGAAUUAUAAAAAUUAGAAUUUACCAACAAGACUGUUGCUAAAUAACAUACAGUGUGGCCUAUUAUAAGGCUACUAUAAAAAAAAGGUUACAAAUAUUAUAUAAAAACCUCUUAAAAUGGUGAUAUAGUAUUUGUGAAUUAAAAACAGGAUAUAUAACUAUAUGUAUGCUGAAUAUAGCUACAUAGACUAUUAAUAUUACAAAACUAGAAAGAGUUAUACUAACAUGUUGACAAUGGUUGUCUUCUUGUGGUUGGGCUGAGCAUAAUAUUUCUUCUGUUUUCUAUCAU